UUCCUGCUGUUUGGCGAGUACACAGUGCAAUGCAGUAUGUCUGUCAGCGCUGCGGCACAAAGGAACAGCCAUUUUGUGACUGAGCUGGACUUGCACCAAGAUGCCAGGCCUCCGAGAACUGCUGCCUGGGCCAACUACCGAGCUGCCUUUUAUUUCAUCAUCAGAGUACUUAUGGGAACGUGGGGAAAGGGAUGUUCUGAUAUUAGAAAGAACCAAAGUAGCAAGUUCAGACCCUAAGACCAUGGCCUGUUUUCAGUGACUGUUCUAAGCUAUGUGUCCACUUCAGUACAAGUACUCUCAACUCUGAAACUGCAAUGACAAAAAGCACAACAGAAUCUAAACAAUACAGAAAUACAACUUCAAAUUAUUAAAAUGGGGCCUGUGAGACUGUGCAGUACGUAAAGGGACUUCCCAACAUACCUGAAAACGUUCAGAAACACCAAGACACUGAAAGAAGCCUCUAAGAGCAGUACAUUUAGUUUCAUGGAAUCUAUUUAUUUGUGUAGUUGUUUAAAGAACUACUAAAAAUGAGUAUUUUAAC
rnacentral:lncRNA from 1 species